rnacentral:tRNA from 1 species
GGGCCCGUAGCUCAGUAAGGAAGAGCGUCGGAGCUCCGAAAGCACCGGGCUUUUAACCAUUAGUCCGAAGACACCCGGAAGAGAGAAGCGCGUCUCCUCUCUGGGGAUGGGUCCCGGGUUCAAUUCCCGGCGGGCCCG